GAUCCGGUGGUUCUGAAUGGAAGGGCCAUCGCUCAACGGAUAAAAGGUACUCCGGGGAUAACAGGCUGAUACCGCCCAAGAGUUCAUAUCGACGGCGGUGUUUGGCACCUCGAUGUCGGCUCAUCACAUCCUGGGGCUGAAGUAGGUCCCAAGGGUAUGGCUGUUCGCCAUUUAAAAGUGGUACGCGAGCUGGGUUUAGAAACGUCGUGAGACAGUUCGGUCCCUAUCUGCCGUGGGCGUUGGAAGAUUGAGAGGGGUUGCUCCUAGUACGAGAGGACCGGAGUGAACGCACCACUGGUGUUCGGGUUGUCAUGCCAAUGGCAUUGCCCGGUAGCUAAGUGCGGAAGAGAUAACCGCUGAAAGCAUCUAAGCGGG
rnacentral:rRNA from 1 species